GCAAACUUGGUCAUUUAGAGGAAGUAAAAGUCGUAACAAGGUCUCCGUUGGUGAACCAGCGGAGGGAUCAUUACCGGGUCAAGCGACUGCCCGAACCAAACACCGUGCACCGUACAAACACACAUUUCCGCUGCGGCGGGCCGCCCGCUGGGGGGGCCUGCGGGGCCGAGAGGCCCGGCCCGCCGAAGCGACCAUAACCGUCUCCGAAGCGCCGCGCUCCGAAGCAGGCUCUGAGAGUUUAGCGAGGCGCCCGCGAGGGCGGACCUCGAACCUUGUCACAACCCACAACAAUGGAUCUCUUGGCUCCGGCAUCGAUGAAGAACGCAGC
rnacentral:misc_RNA from 1 species